rnacentral:rRNA from 1 species
UACGUAGGGGGCUAGCGUUGUCCGGAUUUAUUGGGCGUAAAGAGCGUGUAGGCGGCCAGGUAGGUCCGGUGUGAAAACUCGAGGCUUAACCUCGAGAUGUCAUCGGAAACCAAUCUGGCUAGAGUCCGGAAGAGGAGAGUGGAAUUCCUGGUGUAGCGGUGAAAUGCGCAGAUAUCUGGAGGAACACCGGUGGCGAAGGCGGCAUCCUGGACCGGCAUUGACGCUGAGGAGCGAAAGCCAGGGGAGCAACGGGG